rnacentral:rRNA from 1 species
AACGAACGCUGGCGGCAGGCUUAACACAUGCAAGUCGAACGCCCCGCAAGGGGAGUGGCAGACGGGUGAGUAACGCGUGGGAAUCUACCCAUCUCUAGGGGAUAACACAGAGAAAUUUGUGCUAAUACCCUAUACGUCCUCCGGGAGAAAGAUUUAUCGGGGAUGGAUGAGCCCGCGUAGGAUUAGCUAGUUGGUGGGGUAAUGGCCCACCAAGGCGACGAUCCUUAGCUGGUCUGAGAGGAUGACCAGCCACACUGGGACUGAGACACGGCCCAGACUCCUACGGGAGGCAGCAGUGGGGAAUAUUGGACAAGGGGCGCAAGCCUGAUCCAGCCAUGCCGCGUGAGUGAUGACGGCCUUAGGGUUGUAAAGCUCUUUCACCCACGACGAUAAUGACGGUAGUGGGAGAAGGAGCCCCGGCUAACUUCGUGCCAGCAGCCGCCGCAGUAA